CGACUCCUGUGAAGCUGCCGUCAGUUUCAUGGUCAAACGCCAGGCUUCACAUUGAAGCCAGACGAAAGCCUUCCUUAUUUUGAGUAUACACCACGGGGAAAACGACUUUCUGAGUUAAAAUGACGUUUGUUCGAGACUUGAUGAUCAUUGGCGGUCUGCUCGUAUUUGCAAGCGGUAAAAAUUUUAUGGUCUACAAUCAAAAAUUAAAUCACACGAAAGCAGACAAGGAAUGUCAAUUACGCCAUGGUCUUCUUGCAAAAAUCAGAACCAGCGAGGACCUUCUAUUGGCCAAAAAUAUAUCAAAUACCACCAACGGCAUAAAGCACUGGAUAGGUCUUGGGUAUUCCA